GCGUCCAUAUAUGUUCGUGUUUCGGAAAAUCGAAUGGACCUUCUCAGGGCUGUGAUCAUUGGGCCUCAGGGAACACCCUACCAUGAUGGCCUUUUCUUCUUUGAUGCUCAAUUCACUGCUAGCUAUCCAGCGACUCCUCCAGUGGUAUACUAUCAUUCUGGAGGACUUCGGCUCAAUCCAAAUUUGUAUGACUGUGGAACAGUCUGCCUUAGCCUCCUGGGAACCUGGCAUGGUAACGGCUGUGAGAAUUGGAACUCAGCUCACUCAACCAUGCUACAGGUGCUGAUCUCCAUUCAAGGUCUCGUAUUGAAUGAAAAGCCAUACUUCAAUGAGCCAGGAUACGAGACCGAAGUCAACGAUGCUAAUGGACCGAGGAGGUCUUUGGAGUAUAAUGAUACAGCAUUUCAGCACUCGUGUAGAACAAUGUUGUACUCACUCCGUAGGCCUCCACAGCACUUUGAAGAUCUUGUUGCUGGCCACUUUCGUGAACGUGGCCAUGCCAUUCUGAAUGCAUGCAAAUAUUACAUGGAAGGUAACGAAGUUGGGUCCGUAGUUCCUGAUGAGGGCAAGGAGCUGGAAAAUGCAAAUGCUGAAGGAUCCAGCAACAGCAACGCAGUGAAGCCAAAGAAAUGUGCAGGUGCAGGUCGACGAACCGCAUCCUUCAAGGCUGACACGAAGGUUCUGUUUGAAGAGCUCCUGGUGGAAUUCAAUGUGAAGGGUGCCGACACCAAGAAGUUCUGUGCUGAGAAGUCGAAGAAGCCGCGUCAAAAAAAGAAGAAGUUGAAGAAGAGCCAGCCUGCUGCUGCUUGA
rnacentral:rRNA from 1 species